GACGAAGGGUGCGGGCGUUAUUCGUUUUGAUUGGGUGUAAAGGGUACGUAGGCAAUCGUCGUGGGACAGUAUCAAAAUAGCGGAGUGUUCCUACGCACCGGUACUGCCCGUAAACGAAUCGCGUUAAAGAGAGGUUGGAUCAAAUUUCUGCGUAGAGGUAAAAUGCUAAGAGACAGGAAUGAAUGGUUACAGGCGAAGGCUUCCUUCUAUCUUUAACAGACGCUGAGGUACGGAAGCUUAGGUAGCAAACAGG
rnacentral:rRNA from 1 species